GGUUUCCACCGCAUUCCGCCUAGCCAGGCUGUGAUAAGACUGGGGGCCCCGCUCAGCAGCCGCCUGCCCUCGGGGACCAGAGGUGUACUCUCAUAUUAGGAGAUGAACAUUUCCAUCAUGACCUGGACAGACACAGCCUCCUGUCACCCACCAGGCCAGCCCCAAGCCCAGGGCUUCCCGACUGCCCAGCUUCCGUGGGACUUACUCCCACUUGGUGACAGAGGAAGAUGGCAUCCUGGUAGUCCGGGUGUAGAGAUUAUCCACCCACCGGAUCCCUAAGCAGGUGUGGAUCCUCCUCCCACCUUUACCCAUCCCCACCCUGCUUGCUGAUGAGCCCUGUACUCAUGCAGGGCCCACAGCAUAGCACGUGGCUGGUGUUCUAACCCAAAGGAUUGUGCUGCUUUCUGUGGAGUUAAUCAUUGCCUUCUUCUUCCUAGCUUGCUUAGUUUGUCCUGGACUCAUUACCAAUUCACCCCCAGACCCCCGCUGGGCUUUCUGAGGAGACUCCCUGGCCAGUUCCUCCUGGGUCCUGGGCAGCAGUGCCUGGUGUGAUGUCCCAGGCCAGACGUCCUUGAGUCUCACGCUUCCUCUCUUGGGUUGCUUGGUGUCCUGGUGGAGUGUGUCUUUUGGGAGCGCCUUGAGAAAGGCAAAUGGGGAAGUUGGCUUCAAAAUGUGCUGUUGCAUGCUCACACUGGGCUGGCAGUGGGGUUGAGAACAGGACCCUGGCAUUCGCUCUACUUCCUCUGAAGCUGACUGGCCUACCAGUGUCCUCUGGCACUGCUGCAGGCCCCUGUGACAAAUUUUAAUUUCUGCUCCUUGGGGUAACAACUGGGACUUGUUUUUUUGCCAAAAGUUUCUGGGCCUGUUUAUUUUUCAGUAUUGAGAAUUGAACCCAGGGCCUUCACACUGAGCUACAACCCCAGCCCUUUUUUAAAAAUUUGAGACAAGGUCUUGCUGAGUCACUAAAUCGCCUAGGCUGGGGUUGAACUUGUGGUCCUCCUACCUCAGUUUACCAAGUAGCUGGGACCAUAGGCAUUUACCACUAUCCCUAGCUAGUUUGUGGGUUUUAAAUGUUUUGUUUUUAGUUUUCUUCUUGUUUGCACAGACUCUGCUAUAUAUAUAUAAAACACACACACACACACACACAUCUCUCCAAAACCACAUUACUGUACCCAAGAUAAACUUGGACAGAGCAAAACAUUCCACAGAUGUGAGAAAAUCUUGUAAUGGCAUUGACACAUGGUUAAAAUCAAUACUGUGCUCAGAGUGCUUACAAGUUAUCAAGAAAGCUUGAAAACUGGGGGAAACAGGUGAGACCUGGUCAGGAUCCAGUGAGCCUGCUACAGAGUCAGGGCUUGAUGUGGGCCAGGCUCUCCGGCCAGCAGGGAAGCAGCUCCUGGGGGCAGGGCCACAGACGGGGUCCUGUGGGGUCUCGGGCAAGAGGGAAGCAGCUGGCAAGGCCAGAGCUAAGUCCUGAGUGUCAGGGUUAGGGUUAGGGGAUAGGUGGGUGCAGCUGAGGUCCCCCGAGAGGUGUCUGAUAGCUAAAAAGGGGAAGCAACUGCAGCUGUUGCUGGAGGGGCUGACGUUAGUCGCAGCAGCAAAGAUUCGAAGUGCCUGAUCUGGGCAAGUCCAGGGUGUGUCCAGCUCACGCUGCCAUAACAAAAUACCCAGCCUGGGGACUUAAACAGUAGCAGUUCAUGUCCUCACAGUCCUGGGGAAAGGCGAGGUCAAGGUGCAGCGUGGCAGAGAUGUUUCUCAGGCGCCUCUUCUUGGCAGGGAGACUGAACCUAGCCCGCGCGUGUCCUUUUCCUCUGUGCCCAGCCCUGCUGCGUCUCUGGGUGUCCUCUUCUAAGACACCAGUCAGACUGGACAGGAGUCACUGUGAGCCCUCGCCGAGUCGGUCGCCUCUCCAAAUUCUCCUGCAUCCUGCCAUCUUGGAGCUCAGGCAGGGCCAGCCAGCCUGGCAUUCCUGGUGUGUCCUUC
rnacentral:lncRNA from 1 species